ACCUAACAAAACAAAGUGUCCACUCACCCAACAAGAUAUCUCCACCAUUAAUCAUACCAUACUAUAGAGUCUAACCAAAACUAAAUUUACCUAAGGCAUUUCUUAUGACCUAAGCUAAAAAUCCAAAACUACCGAUUCCACGUUUGAUAGAAUCUACCCAAUAUGAUCAUCACAAGUAUAAAAUUUUCCGAAAAUUCCCAACAACCCCAAAUGCUCUCCUAACUCUACCAAAACAAGAUAUACGAUUCGUUUACCUUGAAUCGCCUAAAAGUAAGAGAAUUCAAAAGAGAGUAAAUAAGAAAACACAACAAUUCACAAUAAAUCAAAAUCAUAUAUAAAUCAUGCAAAAAGUGUAGUUCAGGAAUUCCAUUAAAAAUCACACAAUUAAGAUUAAAGAAUCUAUUGCGGUAGGAGAUACUCAAAACAAGGAAUUUAAAUGACAACACAUAAGAACAUCACACAAUCAAAGAAUCUACUGCGGUAGGAGAUACUCAAAACAAGGAAUUUAAAUGACAACACAUAAGAACAUCACACAAUCAUUUCUCCACCCUUACUUAUGAGUUCGUCAACACUUAGUCAUCCCCCAUAAGUAACUACACAAACACGUACUCAUGAGUUCGUCAACACUUAGUCAUUCCCCAUGAAGUACCGACAGACAGACUAAAGCUCUAAACUGACCGUAACCAAUCACCCAGCCAAAGCUUGGUUCCCGGUUCACUAACACCACCACGAAGACUCCUAAUCUAAUGCACACAAUCACCACUAAGGCACACAUCCACAACUAAUGCACACAAUCACCACUAAGUCACCAUUCCACAACUAAUGUACACAAUCACCAUGAAGGCACACAUCCAAUUACUCUCCCAUCAUAACACUUAUCAACCUCAACAUGUUACUACACCAUCUCAUCAAGAAGAAAAAUAGUAUACAACAAUCGAUCAAAGCACAAACAAUAACCAUAUUUCAACAUCACAAUAUCACAUGAUCACAACAUGCUUUUCAUACACACACAUGUGGAUAUAAUUAUUUAAAACAAGAAUAGUCUACCAACUCCAAUUAUGACUUAUGAUCGGAAGUCCUUUUGAAAGAUUUUAUUUUUAUCAGAAAAUAUGUUUUCACUUACCCAUGAGCCGUUGACGUGCAAACUUAUUUAUAUUUACAAAUUCAUUUUCCUUCAAGGACAACUUCACAAUUAGCAAUAAUAAACUAUAAAUUAAACUCGGUUCCCUUAUGAACCCAGGUGAGAUUUACUCACAUUUAACUCUCGCUGCGUCUUCACACACCACAAGAACAAGCACAACACCAACUUCGUCAAUCACCUAGAUAGCACAAUUUAACUUAGUGACCAACCAAAACAAGUGAUUACCAUUUACACUAACUAGAUAAAACUUAACCCAAAGAUUUGCCAUAUCGAGGCAAUCCUCUUACGAGACCUCUAAAGGUCACCGAAACCCCCUGAACAGCCUUUGGUAACCAAUAAAUUAUCACCUUUAUGUUUAGAUUCCAUAAACCGAAACCGAAAGGAAACGAAUUUCGGAAAAGCCCUAACAUACUCAAGCAACUCUGAAACCUACAAUCUACAUGUACACUUACUCAUAUCGACGAGCACAACCUAACAAAGAUUACAUACCUCCUAACCCCUGUCAGACGCACCACCACAGACGGCUGUGAGUGGGCCUCACGCGCCGUCCCUACCACCUCAAAAACUAGGUAAUCUCCCAACAACAAACUUGUAGAACACAUCAAAUAGAACACUUUUCAUACAUGUGGCCAAAGCCAAUUCAGCCGGAAAGAGGCCGGAAACGUAGCCGGAAAAUUGGAAUCCACCAUAGCAACUCUACACCAUGACUUAAGCUUCCAGACCACCAAGGAUCGAACAUGGGCACCUAAACCUUCCUAUCUUGACCGGUUCCAAGCCGCGUCGCCGCUGCCAGAGGUGGAAAACCUAUCGGGUCUCUAAGCCGAACUUCCAAGCUUCGAUUCACCGCUUCGGGACCGAAUCGGCGUGAACCAGCUGGAUAAGGAUGAAGGCAAGGAGAAGAGGAAUCGAUCUGGGCCUGUGGGGCGACGUCGGACGGCGCCGAAAAGUCCGGGUCGAGUCGCGAGGUCCAGGUCGGGUCGGCAGGAGAGUUUGAAUUCUCUCGAGGUCGGAGAGAGAGAAGGAGAGGGGAAGAAUUAGGGAUUCUGAAAAAAAAAAAUGAGGACCCAAAAGAAAACUUUCCUAUUUAACCUAAAAAUUCCUGAAAAGCCACAAACUUCCGCUAACCAUAACUUUCUUGUAUGAAGUCUGUUUUACGUGUGUCAUAUGUCUACCCACUCGUAUCGUCGUGCUCUACAACUUUUAAGAAGGAAAUUUCUCGAGAAACACAACGAAUAAAGAGUCAACUCUAUGACCCUUAAAGAAAAAAAGAACUGUUUCAGGUAAUUUAUAUGUCCGAACACUUCCGCUCUUCCAUUAAACCUCAAAAACACACUAACUUCUAACUCGAAAAUUCUCAAAUAAUAUUAGAAACUAAUAUCGAAUUUCCGGGAUAUUACAAAAAAUCACCUCUUACAUCCACUGCUCAGGUAACUAGUGCACCGACUACAUAUUUGAUAAUGACUCCUACACCUUGAACAAAGAUAGUACAAAAUUUAACCGAGCAGUAUACCCGUCUAGAGACCUUGAACAAAGAUAGUACAUAAUCUAACCGAACAAUACAGAUGCAAUUGGGUUAGACCGUGUACUAACUAUUGAACAAGGAUACAUGGCCAAAAGGACCCACUGCACUCACCAAAAGGUUAAGCAUUAUUAGAACACAAACUAUCUAAAAAGAAAAAAAGAAAUAAAAUUGGACCUACAACAAGAGCUCCAAAUCGCCACAGUCACCAUGCCUCCAUCACGUUACUGGAACCCUAGCCGCCGCUAAUGGACGCCGAAACCCACCACCUCUUGAACACACCUAGCCCGCCAACAGUCCUGCAGCCAAAACCACUUCUCCUACGUGGAUUCAAAGUACUCAAAUUAGAUUGGAAAAACAUCGAUCCAAAUUGAGCCCGUCAAAGCUUCCUCAAGCAUCAUCUCGCCGCCCAACAUCGUUCCAGCAUCACUAGGCUACUCAACCAAAACUACCAAGACGAUCUUAAGGCGCAUCACAAACUCACAAUUCACAAACUCGUCGAGGUCUAAGCCAUGUUGCACCUAUAAAGGCUGAAAAAAGGCCCAUCAAAUUACUCCGCCCGACUGCACUCACCGUUCUUUGCCAAGGCCAUAAGUCUUAUGCGGCACGGGAGCCGCCAGACGAGGGCCUUCAAUCUCACGGUUUAACCCUAGGCUUUCAAUAUUAGUAGUGGUACAAAAUUAGGAAAAAUAAAUAUCUUCGAGAGCGAAAACAAUUUUAUUUACUUGUAACAAAAAAAAAACAAUUUUUUUGACUGGUAUAAAGCUGGACCUGUAUUAAUUAGGGGAAGCCCCCAUUUGUUAAAUGAGAGCGAAUCUUUUCCUUUGCUCCACCUCUGAGUGACUCUUCCGUCUUACUUAGUUUCAAGAAUCCCUCUCAGACCCAUUUGGCCUCUACCCAACUUCGGAUUCAACCUCCUUCAAUUUCCUUGUUUCAGACAGAAAACUCAAAUCUCCAAGGAUUUCUGGGUACUUUUUGUCACUCUAUUUCCUUCUCAUGUUUUACUGGUCUGUUCAUGUAGCACCUACGUGUUUCUUGAAUGUCUGU
rnacentral:lncRNA from 1 species